UAAUACGGAGGGUGCAAGCGUUAAUCGGAUUUACUGGGCGUAAAGCGUGCGUAGGCGGUUUGAUAAGUCAGAUGUGAAAGCCCCGGGCUCAACCUGGGAACUGCAUUUGAUACUGUUAGACUAGAGUUUGGUAGAGGGUAGUGGAAUUCCGGGUGUAGCGGUGAAAUGCGUAGAUAUCCGGAGGAACACCAGUGGCGAAGGCGGCUACCUGGACCAAACCUGACGCUGAGGCACGAAAGCGUGGGGAGCAAACAGGAUUAGAUACCCUGGUAGUCCACGCCGUAAACGAUGUCAACUAGCCGUUGGAGGGCUUGACCCUUUAGUGGCGCAGCUAACGCAUUAAGUUGACCGCCUGGGGAGUACGGUCGCAAGAUUA
rnacentral:rRNA from 1 species